rnacentral:rRNA from 1 species
UUUUGAAACGGGUUGUAGCUGGCCUUUCGAGGCAUGUGCACACCCUGCUCAUCCACUUUACACCUGUGCACUUACUGUAGGUUGGCGUGGGCUUCGGACCUCCGGGUUCGAGGCAUUCUGCCGCCCUAUGUACAAUAUAAACUCCGAAGUAACAGAAUGUAAACGCGUCUAACGCAUCUUAAUACAACUUUCAGCAACGGAUCUCUUGGCUCUCGCAUCGAUGAAGAACGCAGCGAAAUGCGAUAAGUAAUGUGAAUUGCAGAAUUCAGUGAAUCAUCGAAUCUUUGAACGCACCUUGCGCUCCUUGGUAUUCCGAGGAGCAUGCCUGUUUGAGUGUCAUGAAAUUCUCAACCCAUAGAUCCUUGUGGUCUACGGGCUUGGAUUUGGAGGCUUGCCGGCCCUUACACGGGGUCGGCUCCUCUUGAAUGCAUUAGCUUGAUUCCGUGCGAAUCGGCUCUCAGUGUGAUAAUUGUCUACGCUGUGGCCGUGAAGCGUUUGGCGAGCUUCUAACCGUCCGUUAGGACAACUUCUUGACAUCUGACCUCAAAUCAGGUAGGACUACCCGCUGAACUUAAGCAUAUCAAUAAGGCGGAGGAAGAUCAUUAACGAGUUUUGAAACGGGUUGUAGCUGGCCUUUCGAGGCAUGUGCACACCCUGCUCAUCACUUUACACCUGGGCACUUAGUGUAGGUUGGCGUGGGCUUCGGACCUCGGGUUCGAGGCAUUCUGCGGCCUAUGUUAACUAUAAAUUCGAAAUAACGAAUGUAAACGCGUUUAGCAUUUAAUACAACUUUACAACGUAUUCUUUGGGCUUCCCUUCAUUAAAACGCACCACUGNAUAGUUAUGUGAAUUGCAGAUUAUGAAUCAUCAAUCUUUGACGCACUUGCGCUCUUGGUUAUUCGAGGAGCAUGCUGUUUGAGUGUCAUGAAAUUCUCACCACA